AACUGAGCUGCAUACAGAUGCAAGCGCUAUUGGAUAUGGAGCCAUUUUAUUCCAAAAACAUGAUUCUCAAUUAAAAGUUGUUGCUUACUUCAGCAAGCGAACUACUACCGAAGAGUCCAAAUACCAUUCCUACGAGCUCGAAACUUAUCAAUUAUUAUUAUUGGCAAUAAUCAAUGCUGUAAAAUAUUUUAGAGUUUACCUUUUAGGUUUAAAAUUUAAAAUUGUUACAGACUGUAAUGCUAUCAAAGCCACUUCCCGCAAGAAGGAUAUUGUACCACGUGUCGCUAGAUGGUGGGCUUAUUUACAAGAUUUCGACUUCGAAAUUGAGUACCGAAAGGGGAAAUAUGUAGCGCACGUUGAUUUUCAUAGCCGGAAUCCCCCAUUGGCGACGCACGCUAUUAGUGUCAUUACUGAGGGAACAUGGCUAGAAUUACAACAAAUAAGAGACCCAGAAACUCAAACAAUUCUUGCCAAAGUGCGGGCAGGAGAAUUAAUCGUUAGCGAUUUUACAAUAAAAGGUGCUUCCUGGUGAUCGUUAUGAGCUCAAAAAUGUGUCUACUGGUCGAGUCCAAACAGCACCAAAGGAUCGUUUAAAGUCAUUUUUUUUGGAUAAUGAUGAUGAUAACUGUUGUGAGGAACUUGAUGAAAAUGAAUCUUUAGGGCCAUAUGAAGAGGAGGUGUCUCGAGAACGAGUCCCUUGUCAGUCUGGCCGUGUUAGAGCCGUCCUGAAUAAAAAGAAUAAAGCGUAAAUUUGGCAACGCUUUGUGCCUGAGAUGGUCAAGCGCGGGAGUCACGGAGGAUUCCCUGCCGGAGUGGCAUUGCCGUCUUGAGCAUUAGUCGGGUCGCAUUUUAUAAUAUCGUUUAUUAAUAAUAAUUUUGUGUAGUUGUCAUUUAAUGUUAUAAUUAUAUUUUGU